rnacentral:ncRNA from 1 species
AUAAAAUAAUUAUAUUUUUGAAAAUUUAUUAUAAAUUUAUUUUACAUAUAAAUUUUAGUGUGUGAUUUUAAUUAUUUAAAUAAUAAUUAAUUCAAAUUAUAAAAGUAGUAAUUAAUAUUAAAAAUUUAAGAAAUUAAGAUUUAGUAAUAUAAAAAUUAAUAACUAAUUUUGUGCCAGCAGUUGCGGUUAAACAAAAGUUAAAUUAAAUUAUUUCAGUUUAUAAUAAAUAAAUAUUUUAUUAAAAUAAAUAUUAAAUUAUUAAGUGAAAUUUUAAUUUAAUUAAAUUUUAUUUAAUUAUUAUGAUUUAAUAAAUUUUAAUAUAAACUAGGAUUAGAUACCCUAUUAUUAAAAAUUUAAAUUAUAAUACUAAAAUAGUAAAUAAUAAUUUAUUGAAACUUAAAUAAUAUGGCGGUAUUUUAGUUCAUUUAGAGGAAUCUGUCUAAUAAUUGAUAAUCCACGAAUAAAUUUACUUAAUUUAUAAUUUUGUAUAUCAUUGUUAAAAAAAUAUUUUUUAGUAAAAAUAAUAUUUAAAUUUUAUUAUAAAAAAUUAAAUCAGAUCAAGAUGCAGAAUAUAAUUAAGAAUAUGAUGGAUUACAUUAAAUAUAUUUAAAUGAAUAAUUUUAUUGUAAAAUAAAUUUGAAGGUGGAUUUAAAUGUAAUUUUAUUUAAUUUAUUAAAAUGAUUAAUAAUUAAAAUAUGUACAUAUUGCCCGUCACUUUCAUUUAAAAAUUGAAAUAAGUCGUAACAAAGUAGAGGUACUGGAAAGUGUUUCUAGAAAGA